rnacentral:pre_miRNA from 1 species
AAUAAAUUUAUUUUUCAGUUUUUACCUAUAAUGUUUUGACUCUUUCGUCUUAUUUGAAUUUUUUUUACGAUUACUGGAUGAUAAAAUAUGAAUAGUACUUUAUGCUUGACUAUUUUUUUAAAAUUUUUGUAUAAAUUUUUCAAAUAAGACGAAUGAUCAAACUUUCGAUACAGAAAUCGA